rnacentral:piRNA from 1 species
UGCCUUCAUGAGCCUUGCUCUAUAUUGAGUGU